AAUUACCCUUAAAAUGAUCUUUUUUCACCAUAUGAAGUUCGGAUUUAGUGCCUCAGUAAUGAUAGUUAAAAGUGACAAACAACAUAAGACUAUUAUUUCUUCUUCAUUUCACCUUUAUUUCCCCUAUUAUUGAUGAUGAUGUGCACGAGCCCUCGAUAAAUUUCAAUAUUUAAGUACAUGUGAAUGAAAUUGUUGACAAGAACAUGGAAGAAAAAAAAUCACCCAUUUUAUAACUUUGAAUUUUUAGGCGUGUGUUUGAUUGAUGUUUUUUUCUCAUAUCAAUUUUGCUGGGCUGUGUUUAAUGUAAAAAUACUUUUUUCCAUUUCCAAAUCUAUCAUGUUUGAAGUUUGUUGUUUUUGUUUGGUUAUCGUAGACACAAGGGGAAAAAAACCGUGUUCUGC
rnacentral:lncRNA from 1 species